rnacentral:tRNA from 1 species
CCAGUGGUGGUUCAGUGGUAGAAUCUUCACCUUCCAUGUGGGAGACCCAGGUUCAAUUCUCGGCCAAUGCA